GAUGAACGCUAGCUACAGGCUUAACACAUGCAAGUCGAGGGGCAGCAUGAUUGAAGCUUGCUUCAAUCGAUGGCGACCGGCGCACGGGUGAGUAACACGUAUCCAACCUGCCGAUAACUCGGGGAUAGCCUUUCGAAAGAAAGAUUAAUACCCGAUAGUAUAGUAUUUCCGCAUGGUUUCUCUAUUAAAGAACUUCGGUUAUCGAUGGGGAUGCGUUCCAUUAGAUAGUUGGCGGGGUAACGGCCCACCAAGUCAACGAUGGAUAGGGGUUCUGAGAGGAAGGUCCCCCACAUUGGAACUGAGACACGGUCCAAACUCCUACGGGAGGAAGCAGUGAGGAAUAUUGGGCAAGGGACGAGAGUCUGAACCAGCCAAGUAGCGUGAAGGAGGACUGCCCUAGGGGUGGUAAACUUCUUUUAUACGGGAAUAAAGUGGAGUAUGCAUACUCCUUUGUAUGUACCGUAUGAAUAAGGAUCGGCUAACUCCGUG
rnacentral:rRNA from 1 species